rnacentral:lncRNA from 1 species
CUUAUCCUUCGCGAAAAACCCAAUUGAGAACGAUGAAUCACCAUACUGGAUACCGUAAACGCAGGUAGAUGAAGAACAAAGAGGAGUAUUUCCGGUAGCUGAUUUAAGCCCAGAACAAGCUGUGGAACUGCAGGAAAUGUUGGAAUAAGUCGAAGAAGACGAUGGGUUGAAAAUUGGUUGUUGUUGAGGAAAGCAUGUUUUGAAACAGGGUUCGCAUUGAGUCCAUGUAAGGUCACUGCCGGUGUCGAAGAUGAGUGUGAGAUCCUUCUUCGGAGUUCCGAUUCCGAUGGUGACGAUGUAGUUUCCGGUGCUAAGAGCGGUGCCGGGUUGCGCCGGGAGAGUGGUUUUUGAGUCUUUUGCUCUGUACUUUUUGGAGGUUUUUUCUGUCUUUCUGAAUAGGUUGAAGUUUUGGGCUGCGAUUCGGGUUUGGAUUGAAUCCACUCGGGCUUGAUCAUGGGCCAAGAUUUCUGUUAAAGUUUGGCCUUUUUCACCCUUUUUGUUGAGUUGAGAACAUGGCCCAUGUUUGUUGAUGACCUCCAAUGA